UCUGAGUCCCAGGACCCAAAAUUACUUAGCAGACAUCAGCUCAUUGCCCAGAGAGAUGGUUAUUUUGAAGAUUGCAAACUUCCUCCUGCCCAGUCCAAGUUGAAGUUCCGGGGGGAGGAAAAACGUUCCAGGCCGGCAGCUGUGCGCUGUACUGGACAACAAGCACCGCCUUUGUGGAGAGCCUCGUGGGAUGAUACCCAGGCAGAAGGUUAGAGAAAUGGGUCUCCAGCGGUUCCCUUUACUGGGAGGAAAGAGAUGGGGCCACACCUUCUUCGAAGAAGGCUUCGUUUCAUUCCCGCAGAUAUGAAAAACUAUGCUCAUGGUCCCCUCAACUUUUUGAAGAACAAGAUGGGCCCACAGCCAAUCCCCUAAACCCUCAAGUGAGCAGACAUCAAGUAGGGAAGACAGAUGGAAGACAGGCAGACUGUAGCAAGCUGCUCCUCCUGAAAAUUGACACCCUAGAGGGACAUUGGGGAUCACUCUCCACAUGGCCCCAGAAUGCAGCAUCUAGAAGGGCAGGAGAGCCCCUCCCCACAAGAGGCCUUUUGUGUGCCUGUCAGGCUGGGUUGUAUUUUUAGACUUAGCUAGGCCUGCUCUGGAUUUCCCCUCACACAGCUGCUGCCGCUGCUUUCCAAAGCCCAGCCUAGGAAGCCGGGCUUCCCUAAGCCUUUGUUUGCCUGAAGAACGGAAGAUAAUGUUUGACAGGGGAGGGAGAGUUAUGGGAGCCUGCAGAAUUCUUUCCUCAACUCCCAGACAAGAGGGUAAGUCUUGUCACCCUAUCCAGCAGCAUCUUGUCACAUACACACACACACACACACACACACACACCACCAGUCCAGCCUAGGACCUCCAGCCCAUAUUUGAUCAGGACCAGCUGCCUCAUGGCAUGGAUUGAGCCCAGUACAUCUUUCGGAGUGAGAGAAAAUUUUACUCCAUGAGAAGGAAGCUCAGACCCAAGAACCAUAUUCAAAGCCACCUCUCUCAGCCACUCUGGUAAACAGGCUCUUCCUGCGUAUUCUGUUUUAAAGCAUUUAAUUAUUCCUCCAUCUAUAAAUAAAUAAAUACUCGCUUGCUGUAGCAUUUUCUUUCAAUUUGCUACUGUAGACAAAUCAAGACAUGAUUUAUUCUUCUGAUGUUGGCAGUCUUAAACCUCCCUCAUUUGUUUUUUUAAUAUAUAUUUUUUUAUUUUAUGUGAGUACACUUUUAUACUGUUACUGUCUUCAGAAACACCAGAAGAGGGCACCAGAUCAUAUUACAGAUGGUUUUGAGCCAUUAUGUGGUUGCUGGGAAUUGAACUCAGGACCUCUGGAAGAGCAGUCAGUGCUCUUAACUGCUGAGCCAUCUCUCCAGCCAUCACCACCCUCCCAUUUGCAUUUUAAAACCUUCCCAACACCAGAAGUUACCUGUAGGGACUAAGGGGUGAACAUGUUUUUUUGUUUUUGUUUUACUUUCUACUUUUUUUUCCCUACUGUUUUAUCUUUAUUCAAACAAUGAGCUGUUACUGUUUGGCAAUGGGAGUAUUUUUAAGGUACAGUGCAGACAGCCAGUGGGUGGGAAACGAGGCAUUUCUUGGUGUUGGGAUUUUUAGAUCCUGGCUUUGAUAGGAUGGUGGGCCUGACUAGUAUAGCAGUGAGAUGUUGUAAGAGAGGUGGGAAAGAUGGAUGGAGAGGGAGAGAAAUGCUGUUGGUUCAAGGCAGGACCUGUGGUUAGGAAAACCUAGCCCUGCAGUACCAGAAUGUAUGCCAAAGACAAUGGGAUCCAUGAGAUUGAAGGACAUGCUACACAAAGCACAGUCUACUGGAUCUUAUGGGCAGAAGCAUGUCCUAGACAGAAGCAACAUAUCAAGAUCCCUGCACUGCAGAGCAAGAGAAAGCAUUCCUAUCUAAACCUAUGGUCAUUGGAGUGUUAGCCAGGCUUCCUCAAAAGCUGCAAGCAUGCCCAAAUUCGGUAUAAGAGCAGUCCGGCCAGCCAUGCAAGCUCAAAUGACUGUCUUAUCAUAUGAUAAGAUGUAUAUGAUAUCUUAGUGAUACCAUAUACAAUUUGGGAUGGGGUGCCAAGUCAUUUGUUGGGCAAAAUGACACUGAGGACCAAGAUGGCUGUCAUUAUGUCAAAUGGGAUCCCUAUAGCAAUGAGACCUGAUAUAGCUUAAGUCUCUGGAUGGAGGGGAAUCUUCAGGAUAUACUGAGAACAAUGGAGGAAGAGCAGGCAAGGGAGGACUCAGGUGCCGGUGGGACUCCAUGUGAGGCAGGGAGUGAGGCCAGUGGCUGAAGGUGUGGAAGAAGGAGUUGUGUGACCAGUUAAAGCAGGCAUUCUUCAUCUGGCUAGAACUCAGGGGUCUGUGAACUUGAGUGGGAGAAACAUCCUAUUUUUAUUUCUACAUUCCCCCACUACAGCCUAUUAGAUACUUCCAUGAUUAAUGUCAGAAAAUUCAUAUAGGAUAGUAAUAUCAAUAUUUAUGACCUCAGCAUUCAUAACAAUCACAGAUUUUUGUAUCCUAUUUUCAUAUCACAUGUCAGUUGUGGCAAAUGUCUCUAAGUAUCAUUUCUGUUCAUCAUUAAUUUAAAAUGCUCGUAAUUGGACCUGAUAAUGGAUCGUGUUUUGUACAACAUGGGUAUAUUUGCAUGCAUUAGCAUAUCAAAAUGACUAUAAUUUUGAAAGCCGUAUGUCCAUUAAAUAGUAAUUUUGCAAUCCUUUAUUUAUUAUUAUAUAUGUUAAGAAGUAUUCUGAGAGGCAAGUCAAAACAUUAGAAAGGGGACUGGAGGUAUGGCUCAGGGAUUAAGAGCACUGACUGCAAAUACAGCUAGUGUUGUUGUUGUUGUUGUUGUUUGUUUUUGUUUUUUAAUAUAUUGUAACCCCAGCACUCAGAAGGCUGAGGCAGGAGAUGAGUUCAAGAUUAGCCUGGGCUAUCUCAAAACAAUAAAAGAAGAAAGAAGAGGAAGAAGGAGGAGGAGGAGGAGGACGGCGACGACUAUGAUGAUGAUGAUGAGAAGCAGCAGCUAGGUGUGAUGGUACACACCUUUAAUCCCAGCCUAGGGUGGCCGGCAGAUCAUUGUAAAUUCAAGGCCAGCAUGGUCUGAACAGGCCUUGCCCCAUUUCUGGUCAGUCUGGGCAUUCAGGCCUGUGAGGCCACCACGCAGUCACAGAGGAAGACCUGUUGAAGCAGAGAAUACAGAGCUGAACAAACGGAAGCCAAGGUCAAAGCAAAUGUUUACUUAAAAUGAGGAAGGAUAUCAUCACAGAUUAUAGAUGUUUAAGAAGAUAAAUUCCACAGACCUUAUGAAGACCACAACAUAAGAUUUACUUAAUGGACACAUUUCUGUAGCCCCUUCCUUUCCCUCCAUUCUUGGCUGUGUAUUUUGAUCCUUUCGAAAUGUCAAUUUUUUUAAAAAAUUCCUAACGUAACGACCAGAUGGAUAAGACAAUAUUUCUUCUAAUCCGGCUGACUGGCAUUUCUUGUGUUGGUGGUUGGGCUGUGGUGAAUGCGCAUGCAACUUCGCAUGCAAACUUUUCUGUUUUUUUUUUUAGACAAAGCUGAACAGUGGCUUGUAUAUUGAAGUGUCAGUUUUAUAUUUGUUGUUAAUUUUCUAGUCAUAUCUUUGCCUGUUUCUCUAGAAAACUUUUGGCAUUUACCCUAUCAAAUUUAAAGCUAUUUGAUAAGCUGGGUGUGGUGGUACACAACCUUCAUUUGAUCACUCAAGAGCCUGAAGGAGGAUUUUUUUUUUUAAGGGGGGUGGGUGUGUCCUGGAGAGAUGGCUCAGCUUUGAGUACUGCAGGGGCAGAGGACCACAGUGUGGUUCCUAGCACCACCCAUAGGAGGCAGCUCGUAAUCUCCUGCAACCCCAGCUCCAGGGUGCUGCAGUCAGGUGUAUACACACACACACACACACACACACACACACACACACACACACACGAGCACUUUCUUACACACACCCACUUAAAUCUUUUUUUAAAAGACAGACUUUUUGUACAGUAGGAAUGUUAGUGCUUUCUCUUCUCUCUCCCCAUCCAUUUGGUUUUGUAUGUGUAUAAGUAUACUCGUCCAGGCCGGGCGUGGUGGCACACGCCUUUAAUCCCAGCACUCGGGAGGCAGAGGCAGGCGGAUUUCUGAGUUCGAGGCCAGGUCUACAAAAUGAGUUCCAGGACAGCCAGAGAUAUACAGAGAAACCUUGUCUCAAAAAAAAAAAAAAGUAUACUCAUCCAUGCAUGCAGGCACUAGCAGAGGCCAUUCAAGGACACUGGGUGACUUCCUCUACUGCUCUUGCCUUGUCACCCAGAAGCAGUCUCUCAGAAGAGGAAGCCUGUGGCUGGAGUGGCCUGCCUGUGAGCUCCUGGGAUCAGCUUGUCUCUGCCCUUAAUGCUAGGCCUGUAGGCAGGCACAGCCAUACUGGGCUGUUUGCUGGGUGCUAGGAUUUGAACUCAUGUUUGCAGAACAAACCCUUUUACAUUCUGAGCAUCGUGCCACGCCUCCAUUUUGGUCUUUUUUUUCUUCUUCUUCUAUAAUACAGGUUGUAAAUAUGUCCUCGUAUGCUGAUAUACAUCCUUUGACUUUGUUCAUGGAGGUUUUGCUCUGCAAAAGAUUAAACAAUAUUAAAGCGAAUAAAUGUAACAAUAUUUUA